GUUCGGGGAGCCGGGCGCCUUCGGCAGGACGUACCGGGGACAGUGGGCCCCCACAGCCCUCUUGGACUCUACGUGCAGUUAGGCGGUGGAGGGAACAAAAGAUACUUCUUGUCUGAAAAAUGCUGUGAGAGCAUUAAGGUUGGACAUAAGGAUCAGCCUUCCGGCUUGGAGGACUGGGUGCAAGGUGGGUGUGACAAAGAAAAGGAGCUCAAAACUGCCUCCUGUUCCAGCCUAACCAGACCACUGAAAAUUGCAUCACAAAAUGUAUGGUGACACAAAACUUCCACAUGGAGGGCCUGAGGGUUUGUGACAUCUGGACUGAUAAAAGUGAUGAUGUGGAAACACUAAUACCGAAGCAUGUGCAAGGUCAACUUGAGAAGUUGGUCCCAGCUCUGCCGCCUCUUCAAAAGUUAUCCUGUCCUGUCAGAUACAAAAGGCGCGAGGAAGCCCCACUCCCCUGGGACUGCCGUGGUAGCAGGAGUGCUGGAGAUGAAGAGAUCACAGAGAGGGCAAAGUGAAGCUUCUGGACCUCGCCUGCCCUUGUAACCAGGGCCUUCUCCCUCCACUGCCAACCCCAGAGUGAUGAAGUCUGCAAGUUUCCCCAGGCCUCAUAGGUACAAAUGAGGUUGUAUUCGUGACCUUACUUCUCAGUUUCUUCCCCACAUCCACCCCUGCAAAGUGCCUGUGUCCAUGAGAAUUUCUGGGAGUUCCCC
rnacentral:lncRNA from 1 species